GACGCGAGUUAAAAAAAACUAUAUAAAUGACCGCUGUCUCUUCCCAUCCCUAAAGAAGACGAUCCGAGGCUUAACUAAAACACAUUUUUCGAGGCUGAGAAUAUUUUGCGUACCAGUUUGUGGCCGAGGCGUUAUUUUUCGGUUCAAGACUGAGUCAGUGGAGACUUGAAGAAGGCGACAGGAGGCAUAAUUCUGAGACGAAACGAUGGGCUGGAACGAUCCUGAACGCGGACGGGGCAACCACUCUCCCUGGUCGCAUUCAUCAGGGAACGAUCCUUCUCGAUAUCGAGAUUCCGAGUGCUGCGGCUGCUCCAACAAAUGUUGCUGUGUCAUAUUUACACUAUUCAUCGGCGCAGCAGUGGCUGGUGUGGUGCUGUUCCUGAAAUUCGGACUGCAGCUCUUCUAGAUUUACUACGCCUAUAACCCUACCGCGAAAGCAGCCCCAGUCACUGGAGGAUUCAUGGGGAGUUGUAGGCCCGAAGCAGACGCGUCAACCCCGGCCGGCUCUCGUAUAGUCGUACGCUUCAGAGAAUGUGCCGGCCAGACCCACGCGAUUGCGACUCGUCCCUCCACAAAGAAUAGAACAUUUCUCGUUGAUGAGACGCGAAUUAUGCUACGAACUUUCCAUGGGAAGGGUCGAACAGUAUUAAUAAUGUGUUGGUUUGUGGGAAAACAAAGGAUGCAAUGGCCAUGACACUGACCAACUAAAAUGGUUGUGUGACGAAAAUGUCCCUAACCUAGUACUAGUAGAAUUCAACACACUGUCUUAAUUUUAGUGUUAUUGUACUUCUUUUGAAGUUUACCUUGUUGGCUGGAGCCAAAGCGAUUCAAUCUCUUACAGUAUAGAUUCCGUUUCAUGUUAAAAUGUGUUGAUAAUCGACCACUCGAAGUUCGAGUUACAUACAAUGUUGACUAUACAUGUAUUGUACAUGUACGUGUGGCUGCAUGUAGUUUGUACACAGUCUAUAUAGUCGUACUGUCUGACUGUUAUAAUGAAUUGUGUUAAUUAUUUAUUAUGCUGGAGAAUUCAACAUGGCCGCUAUUAAGCACCUUGGAGAUUUAAUGAAAGUUUCUCAAAUCAUUUCUAGAAGACCGAGACCUUUAAAAAAAAGCAGUUUAUUAUAUUAUAAAGUGUUAUGAAUUACUACCGCUUGUUUUGAUGAAAUGUUUUUUUAUUUGAAGAGAUUUUGUAAGAAAAGAUUUCGUGAUUUUUUGGUAAACUUUCGUCGAGUAUGCUCAUUGAUAGUCAUUAUGAAUAUUCAUACUGUGACAUCACUGCAUAUUGGUUACUGAACUUUGUACUUAGAGUAUGUUUACACUUAUUCACGGUCUGCAAAAGAGAGUUUAAAGUUUAGAAGAUUGAUUUUAAGCCUUUUUACUGUGGGAGUGGUUAAACUAUAGAAGUGUGUGCGUAUUAUUGAUUUCCUGACAUGCAUGGUAGGCGCGCAUGUUGAUAUUUGUAGUUAAAGACAGUUUAACGCAUUGUCCAAAUUAUGACGCGCUUUUGUUAUUGUUUAAUUUUUUAGUUUAAUACAUCUUUAUUGGUAUACUAACAAUGAAAGAAGGAAACAGAUUAUGAAAUAAGCCAAUGAAAUAAAUACAAAGUAAGCAAGAAUUCGUAUCAAUGUACAUGUACAAUUAAAGCAAAACACUGACAACGCCCAUACCAAAAGUCCAUGAUAAAGAAAUUAUAAAACAUGUAUGCAGAAACUUAAAACGUUAUUUGCUUGUGGUUAAUACUGUACUGAUUCCGUAACAAUGCAUUAAUAUUCAAAUAAAUUCUCAUUAGAAAUGACAAACUUG